GAUGAACGCUGGCGGCGUGCCUAAUACAUGCAAGUCGAGCGAACGGACGAGAAGCUUGCUUCUCUGAUGUUAGCGGCGGACGGGUGAGUAACACGUGGAUAACCUACCUAUAAGACUGGGAUAACUUCGGGAAACCGGAGCUAAUACCGGAUGAUAUUUUGAACCGCAUGGUUCAAAAGUGAAAGACGGUCUUGCUGUCACUUAUAGAUGGAUCCGCGCUGCAUUAGCUAGUUGGUAAGGUAACGGCUUACCAAGGCAACGAUGCAUAGCCGACCUGAGAGGGUGAUCGGCCACACGGGAACUGAGACACGGUCCAGACUCCUACGGGAGGCAGCAGUAGGGAAUCUUCAGCAAUGGGCGAAAGCCUGACGGAGCAACGCCGCGUGAGUGAUGAAGGUCUUCGGAGCGUAAAACUCUGUUAUUAGGGAAGAACAUAUGUGUAAGUAACUGUGCACAUCUUGACGGUACCUAAUCAGAAAGCCACGGCUAACUACGUG
rnacentral:rRNA from 1 species